CAUUUGGCCAACUCUAACAGCUUCUGGUCCUUUUCCCCGAGAGGCUGUGGAAGCUCUACUCACCAAGGAGGCCACUUUCUUAGUUGUCCUAGGUAGUCUCACAUCUUCUUGGCAAACAAAAAUUAGAGAAAGAAGUUUGGCUGAGUGAUGGGCGCCAUGAUUUCUGCAAUCCCAGUUGACUCACAGUGCCAUUAAGGGAUCAAACUGCCAUCACCCAUGCUGAGAAACAGUUCUUGCAGAGAUAUGGAGAGGGAGAAGAGAACAUGAGAAAACACACCAGAAAUGUAUUUAUUUCUACUGAUCAGCAUCCAUUUCAGUGAGGAAACAACACACUGUGGGCCCCAGAAGUUUUCAAAAGUUCAAGCAUCCUUAUAUUAGAUGAAGUCUUGCUCUGUCACCCAGGCUGGAGUGCAUUGGUGCGAUUUCAGCUCACUGCAACCUUGCCUCCCAGGUUCAAGAGAUUCUACUUCCUCAGCCUCCUGAAUAGCUGGGAUUACAGAUGAGAAAACUGAGUUAAUUUGCUCAGAGUCAUGCAGAGAAACCAAAGUCCAUUACUUAUACUUUGCAUUAUAUUCCUUUUUC